UGGCUGGGGACACUCCCUCUGCUGCCAGAGGGAUGCCAGGAGGCAUGCCUGUCCCGGGCGGUCUGGGCCUGCAGCCCGUGGGUGUGACAACAUCCAUCCCAGCAGCGGCUCCCUGGCCCCUGGCAGCACCAGCUGCUCCAGGGGUUGCAGUUUUGCCCUGGGAAGCGACCCAUGGGAUGCGGGAAGAGCUGAGAAGCUACUGACGGGCUGGCAAGGCCCAAACCAUGGUGGGCAUGCAGGCCUGGGGCUGGUUCUCGCUCGCGGGGUCUCUCUGGCCCACAGCUGGCAUUUCCUCUGGAAGCAGGGCUCAUCUGGAAAAGCUAUGGCCGAGUGACACUUCUGCCCCCAACCCCCGGCAUUCAGGCAUAAUUUUCAUCCAGUGAAAUGCACAGAUCGUGUUUCCCAUCAGACAGAUUUUGACAGAUGAACAGCCUCAUGAAACCCCGCAGCCCACAAGAGAUAGACGUGGCCCCACACUCGGAAGGCGCCCCCUCCACCUUUCCUGUCAGUCUUCCCACCUGCCAACAGAUUGCUGCCCCCACGGAAGAGCAAUGCCAGACCUUGCCCUUGUGGCAGCUGGCCCACACGGGGGGCCCGGGACAGUUGCGGGGUCAGGGCAGCUCUCCCUGUUGGGAAUGAGGCUCCCGUGCGGGUCGGGAGCAAGGAGAGGGUCUUUGUUUGCAACGUGCAGCUUCUCUCAGCACAGGACUGUGGCCCAGCUCCCGGCCUCCCCAGAGCCGAGCUGCGUCUGCGUUUGUUGGGCUGGGCACAGGAUGUGUGUCCUCUGCUGGAUGACAUGGGAAUGAGGUCAGCCCAGGUGCUUCCCGGGCAGGGCUGGGGGAAGGUUCCCGAAGAGGGGCCUGGACGCAGAACCAACCACGUGUCCGUGAUGGGUACAAUAGCUUUUCCCAGUAAUAUGCUCAACCUCGAAAACAGUGCAGUUUUUAUGAGCAGCGCAUUUUGUGAGUCCGGGCUGGUGCCAGGGAAAGCCUGCCCGGGGUGGGCUGGGUCUCACCAGCCCCGUGGAUUUGCUGAGUGACUGGAGGAGAUUUUUCCUUUUUUCAGAGCCUUGCUUUUUCACUUAUCUUUCAACAAACGAUUCUUUCUGCCAGGCGCUUGGGAUACACAACCAAGCAGGCCAGAGAGUCGGGGAGAGACGUGAGCAGGUGACAGCACGAUCUAUAAACAUUCACUAAGUGUGGUGACGGCGCAGGCACAUUGGGAGCUGCGGCCCAGGGAGGGUCCCUCUGAGGAAGGCGGACCUGCAGGGUGGGCGGGGCUUCCCAGGGACCCGGGCUGAGAUGGGCUGAGCUGGGGGUCAGGCUGCAGCUGUCUCCACGGUGACGUGUGGGGCAGGACCCGAGGGGGUGCCGCCCUGCGCUGGCCACUCCUGCUGGCCCGGAGGGAGCGCAGGCGGUCGCGCCGUCGCCCGGAGCCACAACUGGCUUUUCAAGCCUCAGGGGCUAGAUUUCAGGGCUUCCGUGGCUUGGCUGGGAAGAAACUAGUUUCCAUUUCUCGUCCCUAAAAUCUGCUUUUCUAACACCAGUAUUGAUGCUUUUGCUGGGGUUUAUGGCUCCUUUUCUUGAAAGAUGCAGAGUCAAACUCAAGCCUGGUCCCCUCAAGGCACUGGGGUCACUGUCUCCGGGCGGUCCCAGACCCCAGAGGGCAGCGGCCGUGAUGGUCGCUCCGUCCUCACUCGCAGGCCCGCGCCGCCCCCUCCACCCCGCCGCCUGCAGCGUCCCUCCCGUGCCUGGGGCCCCCCAGCGCAGCUCGGGGCCACCUCAUGUCCUCGGGUGGGGGCUGGUGACCGUGCCUUCCUCGGAGGCCUCAUUCUUAAAUCAAUGGUCAGUGAAUUGAAGUGUGUGGACGCAAAUGGAAAAGGGGCAGAUGCGGAAACCACGGCUUCCCGGGGCUCUGCUUUAAGUCUUGGGCAUCCUCCCCCUUUUUUCCUUGCUAAUCGUGGUAAAAUAUACGUAACAUGAACUUUGUCAUCUUAACCCUAAGUGUACAAUUCAAUAAUGCUUAGUGUUUUUCGCAUUGUUUUGCAACCAAAUCUCCAAAACUCUUUUUCAUCUUGCAAGAAUGUUAGGCAUCUUUUAAAAAACAAAGUGAAAUGAAAUGAAAUAAACGGAGUAACGUUGUCUUCAAAAAUCA